ACCUGCAGUGCCAGACUUCAUCAGUGUCUUCUGUUGAGCUCAUCAGGUUGUUCACGUCCAUCUCCUUCUUUGGCUCUCUAAUCUUAGCCAAGAUCACAAACAUCCGGUUUUUUGACAUGAGAGAUCGCAUGAUCAGUCUUCUUUGUUGCUUGUGCCACACUUCACACGUACCUUCUUCUAUCACAAUCUUCAGACCCUUUUCUUGCAACUGUCCCACGCUCAUGAGGUUGUUCUUGAGUCCCGGUACAAAGUAAACAGAGGUGAUUACCUGUACGCAGCCAUCGAUCUCUAUCCUCAAAUUUCCUUUUCCUUCAACUUCCAUCCUUCUGUUGUCUCCCAACUUAACGCUCUGAUGGAACGAGGCAUCAAAGCUGACAAACCAUUC
rnacentral:lncRNA from 1 species